UCUCGUUCUUCUUGACUCAGCUCUGCCACCUCUCCGUUGGUGGUUGUUACCAAACCAGCAUCUGCCCCACCCACCGCUCCUUCCAUUUCCUUCCAACUGGCUUCACCAUUCAUGGGCUGUUUCAGAGUCCAAGUUUGGCCAGCGGUUCCACUCCAUGGAGCAGCAGACCACGCUGGCGGGGCACACUUGCAGGUGCUUGGCCAGCUUGUGACGGGAAAUGGAAAGGGGGCAGCCAUAUUCGGAGUUGAGGCACGGAACCUGCUCCAAAGGGCACAGGAGCUCGUGCUCUGCCUCUUUGCACAUGUGGAAGGUAGCACCGCAGGACAGGUGGCAGUUUAUCACCAGGCAGGAGACACCAGGCUCCAUAGGCAUGUGGCAGUGACGGUUGAAGCAUCUGUCACAGUGCCUGUGCUGCCCUGGUGGAGGCCUGCGCGCCCUACGCUGGAGACACCAAAGGCAAGGGGAAAGAGAAAACAAAUGACUGCUGGAAGAGAAGCUCUAUGCAUGUCUUUUCUUCUAGGUUCUGCUCUAGCAUCUAUGGUUCGGCAAAAAGCCAAUAUAUAUCAUCAGACCAAAAGGAUAAAUCUGCCAGAUGCUUGGGCUACAGGCUAAAUGAAGCCAGACCUGGACCUGUGAAAGAUGAGAAGACGGAGAAUAGAAAGUAAAUUGUUCGCCUAGAUCUUCCAGCACUACACUGAAAAACGUAGUGAGUGGUCGGGACUUCCCUGGUGGCGCAGUGGUUGAGAAUCCACCUGCCAAUGCAGGGGACAUGGGUUCGAGCCCUGGUCCGAGAAGAUCCCACAUGCCGCGGAGCAACUAAGCCCAUGCGCCACAACUACCGAGCCUGCACUCUAGAGUCCGCGAGCCACAACUAUUGAGCCCACUUGCCACAACUACUGAAGCCCAUGCGCCUAGGGCCCGAGCUCUGCAAAAUGAGAAGCCUGUGCACCACAACGAAGAGUAGCCCCUGCUCGCUGCAACUAGAGAAAGCCCGCGUGCAGCAACAAAGACCCAAUGCAGCCAAAUAUAAACAAAUAAAUAAAGUAAUUAAUUUUAAAAAAAAGUA